GCUCUUCGCCUGGGAUCAUUAAGCACAAAAGAGGAGCGCCAGAGGGAGGAGGACGCUUUGGAAGGAGAAGAAACAGUCGAGACAAAUACUGACAAAGUCGGACACACGUACAGAGGAGAAGAAAUGCCCAAUUUCGCAGGCACCUGGAAGAUGAAAAGCAGUGAGAAUUUCGACGAGUUACUAAAGGCGCUGGGUGUGAACUCAAUGCUGAGGAGAGUGGCCGGGGCGGCCGCUUCCAAGCCUCACGUGGAAAUCCGUCAGAAUGGCGACCAAUUCUACAUCAAGACUUCCACCACGGUCCGCACCACAGAGAUCAACUUCCUCAUUGGCGAGGAGUUCAAUGAGGAGACUGUGGAUGGAAGAAAGUGUAAGAGUUUGGUCACUUGGGAGACGGAAAACAAAAUGUAUUGCAAACAGACUCUAUUGAGUGGCAAUGGACCAAAAACCUUCUGGACCAGAGAGCUCAGAGGGGAUGAACUCAUUCUGUUUAAGAGAAGGAAAACUCAGCAUGUGCUUUCCGAGUAAACAUCAGGGCCCAGUGGACAUGAUGGACCAGAUGGGCUACAAAAUCCAGAUGACAAGCUCCUCUGUACUGACUGUGACUAAGCAUCAAUCACACUUUUGGAGCGGACGAUGUGGUGUGCACUAGGAUCUACAUGCGAGCAUAGCAGCAAACUGACAAACAUUCAACAACCUGUCAAUCAACAAUCUGAUCAUACCGUUUCACAACUUCUUAAAACACUUGAUGAUCUGGAUGUAUCGGCAAUAUCUUUUAGCAGCAUUGUGCAUUAAAUUUCACCGCGUAGUUGUGUUUUCUAAUAAAUUGGUGAAUACUAAAGUAAUAAAAUGAGGCUUCAAUUCAACUUUG